CGCGGGGUGGAGCAGCCUGGUAGCUCGUCGGGCUCAUAACCCGAAGGUCGGAGGUUCAAAUCCUCCCCCCGCUA
rnacentral:tRNA from 1 species